UCCAAUGCGCAGUGGCCGUUUCGUAGCCAGUGAGGUUUAUCCGAGGCGCGACUACUGCUAAUUGAAAACUUUAUUUUUAUUUUUUUAACUUUGUUAGAUUUUAUUUGUUUAUUUGAGAGAGAGACAA
rnacentral:snRNA from 1 species